GCCCAGGUUGGAUCCUUCAGUUUAUUGUGUCCUUCGCUAUGUGAAGCUGCCAAGCCCCUCUGUCUGUGUGGCAACCAGCCCACGAGGAACAUCGCCCAGGAAAAUAGUGAACAGAUGUCAUGCUAGGAGGUACCAACACUUGCUCAUCGUUUAUUUAACACUGGGUUAAAAGGAAUGCAUCGCAUUUGCCUUACAGUAUUAGUUCCAGUUGCAGAUAUGACUUUUCAUGCUGAAUGCACCCAAUAUUUUGGAUAUUACAGGAAACAUUGCUUAGCUAUAUCUCGGGCAAGACACAGACAUCGGUUCCAUGAGGAGUGAUAGAUGCACAGAAGAACACUGGAUGAUUUAUUGCUCAUUUCAGAUAUUGUGACGUUAUUUUACCCAUGACUUGUUUUUCUUCAAAUAAAUGGACAUUUGGGGAAUUUUAGCAGUCACUGCUCAGAUUUGGUUUAUAAAAAGAAAUGAAUUCAUUGUUAUUUACACUGCUGGUGCAGCAUGAACAGAACCAAAUAAAUUGUAUUUACUUUU